AAUAAGACCACAUAAUUUUAAAGUUAGCAAAUAUCAGUGACCAUUGAAAAGAGAUUUGAACAAGAGUUCCCAGAACAAAAAUGAUGUUUUCUUAGGUAGUUCUACCACCUGAGGGUCAUCCUAUCAACAGGGAAAUAAGUUCAACUUUGUCAUAAAUUUUAGAAUUCUACCAAACAAAGGAGAAUUAUUAAGUGGACUCUUCCUCUGGUAAAUCAUUCUAAGUGAGGCUUCCUAACAUCUUACUAGCCUAGGAUUAAUAUCAGCCCAUUUUUUGGAGGAGAACCAACAAGACUGGCUAUUUGACUGGAUCCCCCAAUUGGUUUACUCCAAGGAAUAUGUUUAAUACUGUUCAAAAGAAGAGAAGGAAAGAAAAGCAAAAAGAACAGAGGAAAAGAAACCCAGAGGCAAGGAAUAAAAAAGUCCUAUACAAAAAGACUCCACCACAAAGAAGAUUGAGAGGCACAAGGAAAAUCAGCCCUGAGAAGUAAAUACUGUUGCUGUCAUCCCUAUUUUACAAAUGAGGAAACAAAAAUAGAGAAAUGAAGCAAUUUGUCCAAGAUCACUCUGCUGGCAAGCAACAGAACCAGGAGUUUAACCCAGAUCAUAGCAGAGAACAAACAAGGAGGAGGAAGAACAGGAGGAGGAGGGGGAAAAGAGGAGGAAGA
rnacentral:lncRNA from 1 species